rnacentral:rRNA from 1 species
UACAGAGGUCUCAAGCGUUGUUCGGAAUCACUGGGCGUAAAGGGUGCGUAGGUGGCGUGGCAAGUCAGAUGUGAAAGCCCGGGGCUCAACCUCGGAACUGCAUCCGAUACUGCCAUGCUAGAGUACUGAAGGGGUGACUAGAAUUCUCGGUGUAGCAGUGAAAUGCGUAGAUAUCGAGAGGAAUACCAAAGGCGAAGGCAGGUCACUGGGCAGUUACUGACACUGAGGCACUAAGGCCAGGGGAGCAAACGGG